UACGGUGGGGGCAAGCGUUGUUCGGAAUUACUGGGCGUAAAGGGCUCGUAGGUGGCCAACUAAGUCAUACGUGAAAUCCCUCGGCUUAACCGGGGAACUGCGUCUGAUACUGGAUGGCUUGAGUUCGGGAGAGGUGAGUGGAACUGCGAGUGUAGGGGUGAAAUUCGUAGAUAUUCGCAAGAACACCAGUGGCGAAGGCGGCUCACUGGCCCGAUACUGACGCUGAGGCACGAAAGCGUGGGGAGCAAACAGG
rnacentral:rRNA from 1 species